AGCCGUGCGAUGGGCACAGAGCGAACUAUUCUUUCGCCUUUUACUAAAGAAUACCGUGUGGUCGUCGCCUAAAACGGCAUACGCCUAUUUUUGGAGGGCCGGUUUUUCGAGAACGGGC
rfam:Gossypium raimondii chromosome 12, whole genome shotgun sequence.